GACUUAUGCAUGUACUGUGGGGGAUUAGACCAUACCAUUAGAGAAUGUACCCAAUUGCAACGUAAGAAUGUGGGAACAUCAGCGACUGCAGACCCAAGCAAUACUUGAUUCUGGUGCCAGCCACAACUACAUUGACUUUGACUAUGUACACUUAAAUAAAAUACCGUUACUUAAAAAGUUAAA